rnacentral:misc_RNA from 1 species
AACAAGAUCAACUCUAGUUGAGAGUUGGGACUGGCCUUAUAUGCGUGUGUGUGUAUAUACGCAUGCGUAUUUGGCUUGAAUUGAUCGAGUUGAUGAGCUUCCCAGCGCGGCUCAAUGUGUGCUAGCGAGACAGUCGUCCCGAUCUCACAUUAUCGCUGCGUUGCAGAGUUCUGACCACAGCUCGCUAAACCUAUAUAUCAA